GACGGAGGGAGCAAGCGUUGUCCAAAAUCACUGGGCGUAAAGGGGAUGUAGGUGUCUCGAAAAGUUGGAUGUGAAAGUCCUCUGCUUAACGGAGGAAUUGCAUUCAAAACUGCCGAGAUUGAGCACGGGAGAGGAGAGCGGAACUCUCAGUGUAGCGGUGGAAUGCGUUGAUAUUGAGAGGAACACCAAUGGCAAAGGCAGCUCUCUGGACCGUUGCUGACACUCAGGUCCGAAAGCUGAGGGAGCAAACAGGAUUAGAUACCCGCGUA
rnacentral:rRNA from 1 species